CAUAAAAAUUAUGUGUUGUUGUUGUUGUUGUUGUUAUUGUUGAUCCAAAUAGGUUAGGGUAUAACAUAGGCUGAUAAGUAAACUUUCGAUUUUUCUUACUUGUAAAACUAGGGUCGUUUAUUUCGUCAAAAUGACGCUUGACGCUAAAAGUUUGACGCUGCUUUUUAUCUAGAUGGCACUCUAAUCGAAAUUAUACAGUGUGAUCAAAUUUGACGCUCGAAGCUGGCGUCAAGCGUCGUCGUGAAAUCGCACCUUUACAACUUACAAAUCAUAAAUUAUAAUUCAUAAAUGCUGAAGCUUCUACUUAUGGUUUUAGUGUACGAAUGGGCAUGGGAUGAAAGAUUAACAUCAAGAAAGUCUUUAUUAUCUCAAAACAAUUUGGAAGUGAAGUUUCACCCUGGGUAUAGUGAUGGAACAGUUGCUGUUAGGGGGGAUAAAAUACUAUCGAAAGGAAGACAUCAUUAUUGGGAAGUAGAAAUGCUGUCACAAAUAUAUGGAACAGAUGUGAUGGUUGGUGUAGGCACUGCUAAAGUUAACAUUAAUGAGAGGGAUAAAUUUUUAUCGUUGUUGGGACAAGACCGGGAAUCAUGGGGGCUGUCCUACAAAGGUAAAAUACACUAUGAUGGUGAAAUAAAGGAUUAUUCUGAACCGUUUGCGCAAGGCAGUGUCGUUGGACUUCAUCUAGAUACUUGGAAAGGAACGUUACAGUUUUUCAUAAAUAAUAAGCCUUUUGGCAUUGCUUUUACUGGUUUAUAUGGUAUUGAAUUGUAUCCUAUAAUUUCAUCCACAGCAGCCAAUAGUUGUAUGCGAAUCACACAAAGUUUAUCAGUUCCUGCAUCCUUACAAAUGGAUUGUCUAGGGUUAUUAAAGCCUUUGCACAGAUCAUAUCUAUCUACAGCCUUUCCAGGUCUUCGUUAUUUAUUGAACAGUAAAUUUGCAGAAGUUUUACGUAAGAAAAGAGCCUGAAGAUCAAUUAUAAGAUCCAUAUGGUAUUCAAGAUUGAUAUUAGUCAAUUUUCUACUGAACUGAUUGAUCAAAGUACGAUAAUUGAAUUAAAUAAGCAAGUUUUCAUUCUUUCCUUGAAGAUAUUGGAAAAAAUUGAGGAAAAAUUACUUUUAAACUACUUAGCUCACAGAGCUUAGUCAAUUUGGCUGAAUCAAAUGGAUACUGCUCCGACAAACCUCAUUUUGCACGACUCAUGAUGCGAAGCAUUUAAACGAAAUAUUAUAAAUUAACGACCUAGCGAGCGAAAAAAUCACCCGAUCGCUUUGAAAUUUAAUCACUUAUUCCUGAAAUGAAAACAAACAUUUCGAGCUUUGAUAACGAUGAUUCCGAAGAUAGUGAAUAUGAGUUCCCUGAAGAGUACUUGAUAUUGGAUGAUUUUGACUUUGCAUUAGUUGGCCGUGGUAGAA
rnacentral:misc_RNA from 1 species